rnacentral:rRNA from 1 species
CGCCGCCCCCGCCCGCCUACGGGAGGCAGCAGUGGGGAAUUUUCCGCAAUGGGCGAAAGCCUGACGGAGCCAGACCGCGUGGGGGACGAAGGCUCUUGGGUUGUAAACCCCUUUUCUCAGGGAAGAAAAAAAUGACGGUACCUGAGGAAUAAGCAUCGGCUAACUCCGUGCCAGCAGCCGCGGUAAGACGGAGGAUGCAAGCGUUAUCCGGAAUGAUUGGGCGUAAAGCGUCCGCAGGUGGCCCUUCAAGUCUGCUGUCAAAGAGCAAGGCUCAACCUUGUCAAGGCAGUGGAAACUGAAAGGCUAGAGUGUGGUAGGGGUAGAGGGAAUUCCCAGUGUAGCGGUGAAAUGCGUAGAGAUUGGGAAGAACACCGGUGGCGAAAGCGCUCUACUGGGCCUGCACUGUCACUGAGGGACGAAAGCUAGGGGAGCGAAUGGGAUUAGAUACCCCAGUAGUCCUAGCCGUAAACGAUGGAAACUAGGUGUGGCCUGUAUCGACCCGGGCCGUGCCGUAGCUAACGCGUUAAGUUUCCCGCCUGGGGAGUACGCACGCAAGUGUGAAACUCAAAGGAAUUGACGGA